rnacentral:rRNA from 1 species
AUUGAACGCUGGCGGCAGGCCUAACACAUGCAAGUCGAGCGGAUGAAGGGAGCUUGCUCCUGGAUUCAGCGGCGGACGGGUGAGUAAUGCCUAGGAAUCUGCCUGGUAGUGGGGGGUAACGUCCGGAAACGGGCGCUAAUACCGCAUACGUCCUGAGGGAGAAAGUGGGGGAUCUUCGGACCUCACGCUAUCAGAUGAGCCUAGGUCGGAUUAGCUAGUUGGUGGGGUAAAGGCCUACCAAGGCGACGAUCCGUAACUGGUCUGAGAGGAUGAUCAGUCACACUGGAACUGAGACACGGUCCAGACUCCUACGGGGGGAAGCAGUGGGGAAUAUUGGACAAUGGGCGAAAGCCUGAUCCAGCCAUGCCGGGUGUGUGAAGAAGGUCUUCGGAUUGGAAAGCACUUUAAGUUGGGAGGAAGGGCAGUAAGUUAAUACCUUGCUGUUUUGACGGUACCAACAGAAUAAGCACCGGCUAACUUCGUG